UUGUACACAUCAUCUUUUGAAGGCAAUCUUUAUAAAUGUGAGAGGAAUCGCCGUCUCAUUAGUAAGAGCAGAAAUGUCUCCCCCACUUAGCAUCAAUUUAAUAUUUUGGUGAUAAAUACACACACAAACUACAUUGUACCGGAGUCAUCAGAAAAAAUGCACCGUUUAGGUAGGAAUGCGAAAAAUUUUGAAAGACGGGCAUCUGCAGUAGGGUGCCUACUCUAUUUUAAAUUAUUGAUACAAUUCAUCAACGUUUUACAUUAAGAGCUGCUUUUGAAAAUGAACCUUUAGUUCGUCGUCCAGUUUGACAGGCACAGUCUUUUUACCAGUCAUUAUCCGAGAAUUGCCUUCUUCGAGAUAAAAUGACUUUACUAAGUUUAUUACUUCCGAUGUCAACUGUUGUUCCGCCCAUGGAUUAGGUGAUGAUAAAACACCAACCAAAUCAACCAGCUUCUUUGCUUUUUUUUAUUGUCUUCGAGAUGUAUUGAACUCUUCAGCAAGCCUAUUUUUGCUUCAUGAUUCAGGUGGCAAAGUAAGGAUCAUAGUUUUUACGGAAACAGAUGUAGUGGGGUCAUUAAACGUUUCUUUUACAUGUCAUUGAAUUUUAUGUCGUCUGUCUGUGUCGAUUUCGUAUUUUCUUUCGCAACAAAAACAUGAAGUUUGCGAUUGCUGUGACAAUUGGAUUGAUGAUUCGGUUACUGUGAGCUACAUCAGUUACUGUCAAUAGUGGCAUUUCAGUAGUAAGACGUUUUCCGCACCAUUUACUCACAUAUAAAUUCCUGCUUGUUGCUAAGGCUCUGACAAAAAUAAUGGCCAGUUUAAAAACAGAGCUUUACUCUCUUGAUACCAUGCAAUAUAUUAUUACAGAACAAAACCAAAAUUUGAAAAAACGGAAACAUCGCUGGUAUCACAUGAUUUCAAUUUCGACACUAAUACUAUCCACAAAUUUGAAACAAAAAUUGCUAGCAAGCAUAAAAGAGGGGCCUGGGCGAGUCACUUUCAGCGCGGUAGCCGCCGCCUUUCGACAUUGUAACUGCUCUAGCUCCUAAACUACUUUAGGGCCCAUUAUGAAACUUGGAGACAGUAAUCUUCAUCUUCGAUGAGUUUACAAGAGAAAUGAAGAAUCAUAUUGAACCAUUUAUUUUUGAAAGAAUGAAACAACUGAAUCAAGUACAGAAUAAGUAAUGGGCUUUUUGAAAGCUAGAUAUUUAAAUCUGGCUAGGACACACGACUGAACCAUAAACUACUUUUUCAACAGA